rnacentral:rRNA from 2 species
AGCCUCCUCUAGCCCAACCCAACCUACACCCAUUAAAAACACACUCACCAACCAAACCAAAACAUUUUCCUCAAAGCCCUAGUAUAGGUGAUAGAAAAGGCAAGACAUUCCCUGGCGCAAUAGAGACCCACGUACCGUAAGGGAAAGAUGAAAUAACAAUGAAACUCAAAGCAACAUAAAGCAAAGACAAACCCUUGUACCUCUUGCAUCAUGGUUUAGCUAGAACAACCAAGCAAAACGAACUUAAGCUUGCCCUCCCGAAACCCAAGCGAGCUACUUGCGAGCAGCUACAUCGAGCGAACCCUUCUCUGUGGCAAAAGAGCGGGAUGACUUGCUAGUAGAGGUGAAAAGCCUACCGAGCUGGGUGAUAGCUGGUUGCCUGUGAAAUGAAUCUAAGUUCUCCCUCAGUCCCUCCCCAACAGCCAUGUAACCUGCCAUGAGAAGACUAAGAGCAAUUCAAAGGGGGUACAGCCCCUUUGAGAAAGGAUACAACCUCCCCCAGAGGAUAAUAACCCAAUACCACAUACAGUAGGCCUUUAAGCAGCCACCAACAAAGAAUGCGUCAAAGCUCAUUACCUUAAAAAUCCAACAAACCCCAUGACUCCCUCCCCACUAACAGGCUAACCUAUAAGUAUAGAAGAACUAAUGCUAAAAUGAGUAAUCUGGGACCCCUCCCCCUCUCAAGCGCAAACUUACCCUCACAAUUAACAGACUCUAUAUGAAUACUCCCACAAGAACUAAAUAUUACCCCCUCUGUUAACCCAACCCAGGAGCGCCCUCUAGAAAGAUUAAAAUCUGUAGAAGGAACUAGGCAAAUCUCACAAGGCCCGACUGUUUACCAAAAACAUAGCCUUCAGCGCAUCAAGUAUUGAAGGUGAUGCCUGCCCAGUGACAUCAUGUUCAACGGCCGCGGUAUCCUAACCGUGCGAAGGUAGCGCAAUCAAUUGUCCCAUAAAUCGAGACCUGUAUGAAUGGCUAAACGAGGUCUUAACUGUCUCCUACAGAUAAUCGAUGAAAUUGAUCUCCCCGUGCAAAAGCAGGGAUAUCCUCAUAAGACGAGAAGACCCUGUGGAACUUCUAAAAUCAACGGCCAACACACACAAACUCUCUCCCCCAAGGGCCCCACUACCUAACCGUACUGGCCGCAAUUUUUUGGUUGGGGCGACCUUGGAGAAAAACAAACCCUCCAAAACAAAGACCACACCUCUUAACCGAGAACACCCCCUCAACGUGCUAACAGCAACCAGACCCAAUAACAAUUGAACAAUGGACCAAGCUACCCCAGGGAUAACAGCGCAAUCCCCUCCAAGAGCCCCUAUCGACGAGGAGGUUUACGACCUCGAUGUUGGAUCAGGACAUCCUAAUGGUGCAGCCGCUAUUAAGGGUUCGUUUGUUCAACGAUUAACAGUCCUACGUGAUCUGAGUUCAGACCGGAGCAAUCCAGGUCGGUUUCUAUCUAUGACCAGACCUCUUCCUAGUACGAAAGGACCGGAGGAGCGAGGCCAAUACUCCACAGCACGCCUCCCCAAAAAUAAUGAACACAACUCAAUUAUCAACAAACCCCAUUAGCCCUAGACAAGGGCA